GCGUAAUACUAUUGCUGAUUGAAUUUGGAAUUCUCUUUAGCACUUUUGAUCCUUCUGAAAGUGAUGAUAUGAAGUGUGUUGAUGCUCUCUUAAAGGCCACAUGUGCUGUUAUGAAGAUGAUGUAUCGUUGCCAUUGUCAUCCACUUUAUGAACUUCUUAUCAAUUUUUACUGACAACUAUGUAUUGUUAAUGCUUUGUUCCAAACAUUUUAUGUACAACUUAAACUUGUUUAAUUUGUUGGUUGAAUAUUUAAAGACUUGUAAAUGGUAUACACUCUAUUUCAAUUAUGCUUUCAGUUGGGUUUGUUUUUA